ACUCUGCAGUCCGUGCUGUGUGCCAGACAGUCUCCAGUCUGUGUGAAGCAAGGCUGUCACUGUGAAGAAACCUGUGUGGUUCAGAAAGCUCAGCUCACUCCUACCACCCCUGCGGUGACUCGGGAGGGCGAAGACGAAGACACACUGUCCUCCGAAGCGUGUGCCGCCAACCGACUGCUUUUUUUCACACUGCAGCCUCACCAUGCAGCCACCCAAAAGCUACAGCGGCAGAGGACAACGCAGCUCUCGGGCAGCUUACAGGCAAGCCCGCAGGCGCCCGGCCAGACUACAGGGGUCGCUGGUGCGCGGUGAGCCGAGGACACCCCGGCCGACCUAACCCGCCCUCCCACCGGGUGACGCUUGGCCAAUUGUGCGCAACCCCCUGGGAGCUCCCGUCCACGGUCGGCUGUGGAAUAGCCUGGACUUGAACUCAUGACAUCUAGACUAUAGAGCACAUCCUGCACUCCACGUGGAGCACCUUUACUGGAUGCGCCACUCAGGAGCCCCCUAAUAUUGGUAUCUUUAUCAAUGCUGGUUUUUUAAAAUGUUCAUUUACAUUAACCUUGGAUGUUAUGACAUAAUCAAAUAUGACCUUGACAUUUGGGAUACACUUCAAAAUACAUGUACAUUAACUAAA